rnacentral:rRNA from 1 species
UGGGGAAUAUUGGACAAUGGGCGAAAGCCUGAUCCAGCCAUGCCGCGUGUGUGAAGAAGGUCUUCGGAUUGUAAAGCACUUUAAGGUGGGAGGAAGGGCAGUAAGUUAAUACCUUGCUGCUUUGACGUUACCGACAGAAUAAGCACCGGCUAACUCUGUGCCAGCAGCCGCGGUAAUACAGAGGGUGCAAGCGUUAAUCGGAAUUACUGGGCGUAAAGCGCGCGUAGGUGGUUUGUUAAGUUGGAUGUGAAAGCCCCGGGCUCAACCUGGGAACUGCAUCCAAAACUGGCAAGCUAGAGUACGGUAGAGGGUGGUGGAAUUUCCUGUGUAGCGGUGAAAUGCGUAGAUAUAGGAAGGAACACCAGUGGCGAAGGCGACCACCUGGACUGAUACUGACACUGAGGUGCGAAAGCGUGGGGAGCAAACA